AGAGGAAGAAAAGCGUAGAGAAGAGGAAGAAAAGCGCAAGGGAAAGGAUUAGGCCAUUUCUACUGUACUCUGCUACCAUAGGCCUCCUGUCCAAUACUAACAUAUCAUCCUCCCAAACAUACAUCGAUUGAGUCUAGAACCAGCCGGAAAGCACGAGGCUAUUUCCGAAUCCUAUGGAGACGUCCACU